rnacentral:rRNA from 1 species
UAGGGAAUCUUCGGCAAUGGACGAAAGUCUGACCGAGCAACGCCGCGUGAGUGAAGAAGGUUUUCGGAUCGUAAAACUCUGUUGUUAGAGAAGAACAAGGACGUUAGUAACUGAACGUCCCCUGACGGUAUCUAACCAGAAAGCCACGGCUAACUACGUGCCAGCAGCCGCGGUAAUACGUAGGUGGCAAGCGUUGUCCGGAUUUAUUGGGCGUAAAGCGAGCGCAGGCGGUUUCUUAAGUCUGAUGUGAAAGCCCCCGGCUCAACCGGGGAGGGUCAUUAGAAACUGGGAGACUUGAGUGCCGAAGAGGAGAGUGGAAUUCCAUGUGUAGCGGUGAAAUGCUUAGAUAUAUGGAGGAACACCAGUGGCGAAGGCGGCUCUCUAGUCUGUAACUGACGCUGAGGCUCGAAAGCGUGGGGAGCAAACAGG